AAACCUCAGAGCAUCUCCUGUGUCGUCAACGAUCGCUGUAACGAUUUUUAACCUUUUCGCUCCAAAAAGAAGAUGGCCUUACGCUUCACUCUCUCCUCCCCUUCUCCCUCUCUACAGCCACCACUCAUCCAUUCUCCUCCCCCGCUUAAACUUUCAACUCUGCCCCUUAAUUCAAACUUAUUCACAUAUUCUGCCACUCGCUCUCUCCGUCUCCGCUCCACCCGUCGUCUUCCUGCAGUCACUGCCUCUGUCCCUGCCGUAGAAACCACAGGGACUACUGGAACGGAUUCAGGGAAGAAAAGGCCGUUGCUGGAAGUCAAGGAUUUGACCGCUGUGAUUGCUGAGUCGAAACAGGAGAUUCUCAAAGGCGUCAACGUUGUCCUUUACGAAGGAGAGGUUCAUGCUAUUAUGGGAAAAAAUGGCUCUGGUAAGAGCACAUUUUCAAAGGUUCUUGCUGGGCAUCCGGAUUAUGAGGUAACUGGAGGGAGUGUAGUGUUUAAAGGUGAGAACUUGCUUGACAUGGAGCCAGAAGAAAGGUCACUUGCUGGGCUUUUUAUGAGUUUUCAGUCACCAGUUGAGAUUCCUGGUGUUAACAAUAUUGAUUUUCUUAAUAUGGCUUAUAAUGCGCGAAGACGGAAACUCGGUCUGCCUGAACUUGGACCUAUCGAGUUCUAUGCGUAUUUGUUUCCAAAACUUGAGCUUGUGAACAUGAAGAGUGAUUUUCUUAAUAGAAAUGUGAAUGAAGGGUUCAGUGGUGGUGAAAGAAAGCGGAAUGAGAUUUUACAACUUGCGGUUUUGGGUGCAGAAUUGGCUAUAUUAGAUGAAAUUGAUUCUGGUUUGGAUAUCGAUGCCCUUCAAGAUGUAGCAAAAGCAGUGAAUGGGAUGUUGACCCCAAACAAUGCUGUUUUGAUGAUUACUCAUUAUCUACGGCUUCUGGAAUUCAUCAAGCCCACGUGCAUUCAUAUCAUGGAGAAUGGCAGAAUUGUAAAAACCGGUGAUAUUUCCAUAGCAAAGACACUUGAGAAGGAAGGUUACAAAGCAAUCUCUGCCUCUUAACUGCUGGCCAGUAGUAGCAUUGGCGUGAAGAGAAAAUACUGGAUGCUAGAUUAAAUGUUGAUUACAUUUGAAAGAUGCCUCAGGUCCAUUUUUGACAAGAAGGAUUAUGAUGUAAUUCCUCUCGAAGAAUGGCAUUGUUUGUACAAAAAUUUGCAGACCCUGUCAUCGAAUGAUAAGUUUUUGGAUUCUUUGAAAUUCAUAAUCUUUCAUCUUAAUUUGAAUCAUGUCUAGCGUUCCACUUGGCCACCUUCCUCUCUGGAGCACUGCUUUUGUUUUUGGUUCUCUGUAAUUCACAUGAAUAAAAAAUCUUUUGUCAGUGUGUUUUAUGAUCAAA